rnacentral:rRNA from 1 species
AUUGAACGCUGGCGGAAUGCUUUACACAUGCAAGUCGAGCGGCAGCGCGGGGCAACCUGGCGGCGAGCGGCGAACGGGUGAGUAAUACAUCGGAACGUACCCAGUUGUGGGGGAUAGCCCGGCGAAAGCCGGAUUAAUACCGCAUACGACCUGAGGGUAAAGGGGGGGAUCGCAAGACCUCUCGCAGUUGGAGCGGCCGAUGGCGGAUUAGCUAGUUGGUAGGGUAAAGGCCUACCAAGGCGACGAUCCGUAGCUGGUCUGAGAGGACGACCAGCCACACUGGAACUGAGACACGGUCCAGACUCCUACGGGAGGCAGCAGUGGGGAAUAUUGGACAAUGGGCGCAAGCCUGAUCCAGCCAUGCCGCGUGGGUGAAGAAGGCCUUCGGGUUGUAAAGCCCUUUUGUCCGGAAAGAAAAGCACGGGAUUAAUACCCUCGUGUGAUGACGGUACCGGAAGAAUAAGCACCGGCUAACUUCGUG